UACCAGCACCCCGAGUGGUCGGGACGAUUAUUUGGGCCUAAAGCAUCCGUAGCCGGUUUACAAGUCCUCCGUUUAAAUCCAGCUGCUUAACAGAUGGGCUGCGGAGGAUACUAUAAGACUAGGAGGCAGGAGAGGCAAGCGGUACUCAGUGGGUAGGGGUAAAAUCCGUUGAUCCAUUGAAGACCACCAGUGGCGAAGGCGGCUUGCCAGAAUGCGCUCGACGGUGAGGGAUGAAAGCUGGGGAGCAAACCGG
rnacentral:rRNA from 1 species